UGAUCUUUCAUGAACUUGGCUUCGAUUCUAAUGAACUAAUGAUGCGUUAAAGCAUUUGAUGUACUUUUAAGUACUCAUAACUGUGCAAAUUUUGUGUUCCAAAUUGCUUUCCAUGCGUAUGUUGAAUGUCUCGGUGAUUCUCAUGGUCAAAGUUCCCCGGGCAUGAGGACUGGGUUCUAUAUGUAGCAUCUAUUCAAGCUUCAAAGUAGUGCGGCAUAAUGACCGCAAGGAAGUGAACCUUUUAUCCCUCCAACACCCAAGGCCACCAGGUAGAGGCCACCAAAUAACAUUGCUGCUUGGCCACGACCAGCUUCAUUACAUGAGGUGUUUCUGUUUACGGAUGCACAGAUAGACGGCCUCAGGGAAGGUCCAGAUUGGCAGGUGUAGGAAGGUGUACUCUAUCUGCUUAUGCUUUUGGAUAGUAGCAGACUAUACAAUGCUAGUCCGUUCUUUUCCUUCUUUGGGCUCGGGUCGAUAGUAGCCGUGGUAGUAAUGCCCCGGAGCCCGGGAAAACAUUGAUCUCAAAGAGAUUCAAUGAAUGUUAUCUGGUGGUGAGGCAAGCAUCAGAUAAGAACCCGCCAAGUAGACCGAGAAGGAAGGAAGUUCCCAUAAAGUUGGUAACUAUGUUGGCUGAAGCAGAUGGAGAAAAAUUCAUAAUUUUCGAUAGAUAAAGGACUAGAUUGCUCGCAUUUGCCAGCAUGUGAUGUAAUACUUUUCUAAGGGUGAAAGGAAUCCAAUAAAUUGAAAUCAUCUGAUGAAAUAGAUCUCACUUUCAAGCAUUUUGAGAAGGUAAAUAAAAUUCAUGAUGGCUGCUGUACUCCUUUAGUUUUAUCUUCAGCUUCAUCUCACCCCUAUCCCACUCCACCUUCUCUUUUCUUAAUCAAAACUCAGAGUUACAUCUUCCCCUCCCUCUGCUUUGAUCUUCUUCCAGAUAGAGUCCAUUCCCUGGUACAUGUUAAGUUACCUUGAGUCACAGGGCUCUGUUUGAAAUAUAAGCUUCAAUUAGCAUUCCUUAACCUUUUUCUUUUUGUGUCUUUGUGAGUACAACACUGAGGUUGGAAUCCUGAGGGACAUGAAACGGGAGAAGAGAGGAGGGUUCAGGUGGAAGGUGAUGAACUGAACAACUAUGUUAAACUUCACCUCCGGCUUGUAUGAUGAAUUACUAUAGUUUGAACAUUCGUAUAAUGGAUGGUCAUCUCAUUUUGUUUGAUAAUAUUCUCUAUUCGAUUUUCUUUGUAUCUCGUGACAUAAUCUAUUAGAAUUGCUAUA